GCAGUGGUGGUUCAGUGGUAGAAUUCUUUCCUUCCAUGGGAGAGACUGGGUUCAAUUCCUAGCGAGUGCA
rnacentral:tRNA from 1 species